rnacentral:rRNA from 1 species
AUGAGAUUUCCUUCGCCCAGGGAUGUAGACAAAGCUUGUUUUGUUGAAACUAUGAACAUUAAAAGCUGUGGGGCUAUGGUGAGUCUUAAGAAAUGCUCUGAAUCUGUUGGUGCCAAGGGUGUACUUAACAUUGGUUGGGUCCAUGUUAGCAACAUCCCUUUGGACAAAAGGCAUGAAAAAAAUAUUGCAUAUGUUGGAUCUUUGGUGGGUGUCACUUUAGACAUUGAUAAAUCUAUUGUGAACAGACCUGAGUCAGUUAGAAUCAAAUUGUGA